AUUGAAUGCUGGCGGCAGGCCUAACACAUGCAAGUCGAGCGUGAAAGUCCUUCGGGAUGAGUAAAGCGGCGGACGGGUGAGUAACGCGUAGGAAUCUACCUAAUAGUGGGGGAUAACGUUUCGAAAGGAACGCUAAUACCGCAUACGUUCUGAGGAAGAAAGCAGGGGAUCGUAAGACCUUGCGCUAUUAGAUGAGCCUGCGUCCGAUUAGCUAGUUGGUGGGGUAAAGGCCUACCAAGGCGACGAUCGGUAACUGGUCUGAGAGGAUGAUCAGUCACACUGGAACUGAGACACGGUCCAGACUCCUACGGAGGCAGCAGUGGGAAUAUUGGACAAUGGGGGCAACCCUGAUCCAGCCAUGCCGCGUGUGUGAAGAAGGCCUCGG
rnacentral:rRNA from 1 species